rnacentral:rRNA from 1 species
AACGAACGCUGGCGGCAUGCCUAACACAUGCAAGUCGAACGAUGCCUUCGGGCAUAGUGGCGCAUGGGUGCGUAACGCGUGGGAAUCUGCCUUUCGGUUCGGAAUAACUCAGGGAAACUUGAGCUAAUACCGGAUAACGUCGCAUGACCAAAGAUUUAUCACGCAAAGAUGAGCCCGCGUAGGAUUAGCUGGUUGGUGAGGUAAAGGCUCACCAAGGCGACGAUCCUUAGCUGGUUUGAGAGGAUGAUCAGCCACACUGAGACUAAGACACGGCCCAGACUCCUACGGGAGGCGGCAGUGGGGGAUAUUGGAAAAUGGGCGAAAGCAUGAUCCAGCAAUGCCGGGUAAGUGAUGAAGGCCUUAGGGUUGAAAAGCUCUUUUACCCGGGAAGAUAAUGACGGUACCGAGAGAAUAAGCCCCGGCUAACUCCGUG